CCUACGGGAGGCAGCAGUGGGGAAUAUUGCACAAUGGGGGAAACCCUGAUGCAGCGACGCCGCGUGAGGGAUGAAGGUAUUCGGUAUGUAAAGCCCUAUUAUUAGGGAAGAAAAUGACGGUAUCUGACGAAUAAGCACCGGCUAACUACGUGCCAGCAGCCGCGGUAAUACGGAGGGUGCAAGCGUUACUCGGAAUGACUGGGCGUAAAGAGAGCGUAGACGGGAGAGCAAGUCUGAUGUGAAAUGCUAGGGCUCAACCACAGAACUGCAUUGGAAACUGUACGGCUAGAGUGUGGGAGAGGUAGGUGGAAUUCCUGGUGUAGCGGUAAAAUGCGUAGAUAUUAAGAGGAACACUCAUUGCGAAGGCGACUUGCUAGAACAUAACUGACGCUGAUGCUCGAAAGCGUGGGGAGCAAACAGGAUUAGAUACCCUAGUAGUC
rnacentral:rRNA from 1 species